rnacentral:rRNA from 1 species
AUUGAACGCUGGCGGCAUGCCUUACACAUGCAAGUCGAACGGCAGCGCGGACUUCGGUCUGGCGGCGAGUGGCGAACGGGUGAGUAAUACAUCGGAACGUACCCUGUUGUGGGGGAUAACUAGUCGAAAGAUUAGCUAAUACCGCAUACGACCUGAGGGUGAAAGUGGGGGACCGCAAGGCCUCACGCAGCAGGAGCGGCCGAUGUCUGAUUAGCUAGUUGGUGGGGUAAAGGUCCACCAAGGCGACGAUCAGUAGCUAGUCUGAGAGGACGAUCAGCCACACUGGGACUGAGACACGGCCCAGACUCCUACGGGAGGCAGCAGUGGGGAAUUUUGGACAAUGGGGGCAACCCUGAUCCAGCAAUGCCGCGUGUGUGAAGAAGGCCUUCGGGUUGUAAAGCACUUUUGUCCGGAAAGAAAUCGCGCUGGUUAAUACCUGGCGUGGAUGACGGUACCGGAAGAAUAAGCACCGGCUAACUACGUG